AGAGCGAACGCUGGCGGCAGGCUUAACACAUGCAAGUCGAGCGCCCCGCAAGGGGAGCGGCAGACGGGAGAGUAACACGUGGGAACGUACCUUUCGGUUCGGAACAACCCAGGGAAACUUGGGCUAAUACCGGAUACGUCCGUAAGGAGAAAGAUUUAUCGCCGAAAGAUCGGCCCGCGUCUGAUUAGCUAGUUGGUGAGGUAACGGCUCACCAAGGCGACGAUCAGUAGCUGGUCUGAGAGGAUGAUCAGCCUCACUGGGACUGAGACACGGCCCAGACUCCUACGGGAGGCAGCAGUGGGGAAUAUUGGACAAUGGGCGCAAGCCUGAUCCAGCCAUACCGCGUGGGUGAUGAAGGCCCUAGGGUUGUAAAGCCAUUUCGGCGGGAAGAUAAUGACGGUACCCGCAGAAGAAGCCCCGGCUAACUUCGUGCCAGCAGCCGC
rnacentral:rRNA from 1 species